AACUUUGUGCAGUGGCAGUAUUACAGCUAAUGAGGUUUAUCUGAAAUGCAAUAAUUAUUAAUUGAAAACUUUUCCCAAUACCUCACCAUGACAACUUGAAUUAUAGUUGGUAUUGAUAAUUUUAGACAGACUCUACAGAGA
ensembl:snRNA U4 U4 spliceosomal RNA